GAUGCCAACACCUUCUAGCUAACUCUAUAAAACUAAAGGGCACCACAUAGAAAAGCACGAAGGAAUGCAAAGAUGGCCCAUAUAUGCUUCGAUCCGCAAGAAGCUUGAACGGAUCAUGAAAGGAAAAACAUUUUUUUUUUGAAGCAAUAUAUUAUACAUACAUCCGCUACUAUGACCGUCUUUCACUUCGUCAUACACUCGGUACCCAAGCCCCUCAAGACCGUCACGCACCACUGAAACUGCGUCACGUGUCAACUGCUUUGCAAAUUUGUCCAUGUCAGUUGAAAAGUGGUAAGACAAGAACGCUCCGUAACAUUUGUUGUCUGAGAAAAAUCCGCAAAAAUAAGUAUUUGCAAAGUUGCGUAUAUACGUAGUGUCUUGUAAGCGGGCACGGGGUGUAUAAAACAAAACACCUGUGUUGUGAUGACUGUCGUUGCCCCGCCACGCGAAGAUAAAUAACUACAUUUAUUAUUCAUUCAUUCGUAAAAUUAGCGCAUGGACAAUCCAUUUAAGAAUCAUAUUUCGCAAACUAGAGUGGGUAUAACGUAUUGUUUCUUUUAUAAACGUAAUAAGAUAAAAAGUACAUCAUCAGA